GCAUAUUAAAUAUUAUGUUUUAUAAAACGUUUUAUUACAUAUUUUAGCUGUUUUUUUCUUUUGUCCAGUCAACUCAUAUAACAAUAUUUUGACUUAUUUCUUAUGAUUGAACCAAUCUAUUUCUUUGUAUUUACUUUUAGUUUAGUUUAAAGCAAACAAGCUUCUUACUAUGUAAAGUUAAACCAACAACCUUUUCAGUGCCUGCAUGUAUUUUAAUUAUAAAUGUGAAAUGUUCAAAUGUUUUCUCUUGUUUCCAGGAGAAUGCAAUUCAUACCGUUUCAACAUAACAAACGAUGGGGGGAAUUAUAAAGUAAGAAUGAAUGACAUGGUUAAAAACAUUAUAAUGUGGUUUUUACCGAGUGGAUCUCGAUGUCUUCCAUCAGAAGUCCUGAAUUCAUCAGGAUCCACAUCAAAUAAUUAUGGGACUUGCCAGACACAGCAAAGCAGCUCUACCACCACCCAAUCUAUUUCCACCAUUACUAACAACCCUAGCAGCUGCCCUAACAGAUCACCCAUCAACACCUCCUGCAAUAACAUUUAUCCAGAUGCAUGUUGUUUGAAAACCCCUCCCGUUAAUCCUGAAAUUACAUGUAGAAACGCCUCAUAUGGAAAUGAUACAUGCACUGGGAACGAAAAAAGCAGAUACAUAAUGUAUUUAAAUGGCAGUGAAUGGAUGUGUGUGACCUGCGAUGGUGAAAGAUCGACAACUCCCCAGCCAACUACUAGUUCAACAUCAUAUACUACAACUAACACUCCAACUACUAGUUCAACAUCAGAUACUACAACUAACACUCCAACUACUAGUUCAACAUUGCAUACUAUUAACACUCCAACUACUAGUUCAACAUCAGAUACUACAACUAACACUCCAACUACUAGUUCAACAUUGCAUACUAUUAACACUCCAACUACUAGUUCAACAUCAGAUACUACAACUAACACUCCAACUACUAGUUCAACAUUGCAUACUAUUAACACUCCAACUACUAGUUCAACAUCAGAUACUACAACUAACACUCCAACUACUAGUUCAACAUUGCAUACUAUUAACACUCCAACUACUAGUUCAACAUCAUAUACUACAACUAACACUCCAACUACUAGUUCAACAUUGCAUACUAUUAACACUCCAACUACUAGUUCAACAUCAGAUACUACAACUAACACUCCAACUACUAGUUCAACAUUGCAUACUAUUAACACUCCAACUACUAGUUCAACAUCACAUACUUCAACUAAAACUCCAACUACUAGUACACCAUCACAUGCUAGUUUCAUGACAGGUUGGACAACUCCCGAGCCAACUGUCCCACCACCUGAGAUAAUUUUCACUCUAUCUAAUAAAACAAAUCAGACAAACACAGUUCAAGUUCAAGACCCCCAAGAGGCAGUGUAA
rnacentral:lncRNA from 1 species